AAUUGUUAGUGGCAGACGGGUGAGUAAUGCGUAGGAAUCUACCUAGUAGUAUGGAAUAGCCAUUAGAAAUGAUGGGUAAUACUGUAUAAUCCCUGCGGGGGAAAGAUUUAUCGCUAUUAGAUGAGCCUACGUUAGAUUAGCUAGUUGGUAAGGUAAUGGCUUACCAAGGCUAUGAUCUAUAGCUGGUCUGAGAGGACGAUCAGCCACACUGGAACUGAGAUACGGUCCAGACUCCUACGGGAGGCAGCAGUGGGGAAUAUUGGACAAUGGGCGAAAGCCUGAUCCAGCUAUGCCGCGUGAGUGAAGAAGGCCUC
rnacentral:rRNA from 1 species